rnacentral:rRNA from 1 species
UACAGAGGGUGCGAGCGUUGUUCGGAAUUAUUGGGCGUAAAGGGCGCGUAGGCGGCGCCACAAGUCACUUGUGAAAACUCUGGGCUCAACUCAGAGCCUGCAGCGAAACUGUGGUGCUGGAGUAUGGGAGAGGUGCGUGGAAUUCCCGGUGUAGCGGUGAAAUGCGUAGAUAGUCGGGAGGAACACCUGUGGCGAAAGCGGCGCACUGGGACCAUAACUGACGCUGAGGCGCGAAAGCUAGGGGAGCAAACAGG